CCUACGGGGGGCAGCAGUGGGGAAUAUUGGACAAUGGGGGGAACCCUGAUCCAGCCAUGCCGCGUGUGUGAAGAAGGCCCUCGGGUUGUAAAGCACUUUCAGUGAGGAAGAACGCCUGGUGGUUAAUACCCAUCAGGAAAGACAUCACUCACAGAAGAAGCACCGGCUAACUCCGUGCCAGCAGCCGCGGUAAUACGGAGGGUGCGAGCGUUAAUCGGAAUUACUGGGCGUAAAGCGCGCGUAGGUGGCUUGAUAAGCCGGUUGUGAAAGCCCCGGGCUCAACCUGGGAACGGCAUCCGGAACUGUCAGGCUAGAGUGCAGGAGAGGAAGGUAGAAUUCCCGGUGUAGAGGUGAAAUGCGUAGAGAUCGGGAGGAAUACCAGUGGCGAAGGCGGCCUUCUGGACUGACACUGACACUGAGGUGCGAAAGCGUGGGGAGCAAACAGGAUUAGAUACCCUAGUAGUC
rnacentral:rRNA from 1 species